GACGAACGCUGGCGGCGUGCCUAAUACAUGCAAGUAGAACGCUGAAGGAGGAGCUUGCUUCUCUGGAUGAGUUGCGAACGGGUGAGUAACGCGUAGGUAACCUGCCUGGUAGCGGGGGAUAACUAUUGGAAACGAUAGCUAAUACCGCAUAAUAGUAGAUGUUGCAUGACAUUUGCUUAAAAGGUGCAAUUGCAUCACUACCAGAUGGACCUGCGUUGUAUUAGCUAGUUGGUGGGGUAACGGCUCACCAAGGCGACGAUGGAUAGCCGACCUGAGAGGGGGACCGGCCGCAUGGGGACUGAGAGACGGCCCAGAGUCCUACGGGAGGCAGUAGUGGGGAACAUAGCACAAUGGGAGGAAGCCUGAUGCAGCAACGCCGCGUGCGGGAUGACGGCUGUCGGGUUGUAAACCGCGUUCGCCUGUGACGAAGCGUGAGUGACGGUAAUGGGUAAAGAAGCACCGGCUAACUACGUG
rnacentral:rRNA from 1 species